GACGAACGCUGGCGGCGUGCUUAACACAUGCAAGUCGAACGGUAAGGCCCCUUCGGGGGUCCCCGAGUGGCGAACGGGUGAGUAACACGUGGGUGAUCUGCCCUGCACUUCGGGAUAAGCCUGGGAAACUGGGUCUAAUACCGGAUAGGCCCACGCUCUGCAUGGAGUGUGGGGGAAAGCUCUUGCGGGGUGGGAUGGGCCCGCGGCCUAUCAGCUUGUUGGUGGGGUGAUGGCCUACCAAGGCGACGACGGGUAGCCGGCCUGAGAGGGUGUCCGGCCACACUGGGCCUGAGAUACGGCCCAGACUCCAACGGGGGGCAGCAGUGGGGAGUAUUGCACAAUGGGCGCAAGCCUGAUGCAGCGACGCCGCGUGGGGGAUGACGGCCUGCGGGUUGUAAACCGCUUUCAGUACCGACGAAGCGCAAGUGACGGUAGGUAAAGAAGAAGCACCGGCUAACUACGUG
rnacentral:rRNA from 1 species